CUAAGGAGUUAGUAUUUCUCCCAUAGUAAAUUGGAGUCAUUGGCACCUUGGAGAAGGGGAGUGAUGUGGUCUGGUCACAGCCAGAGGGACUACUUCCACCACCUACACAGCAGGUCUCUGGGACACAUUCAAGGAAAUUUUACCUCAUCUUCUAUAUAGGGUUAAAGCAAAAUCCUACCUACUUUUUCUUCCUGAGCCAAUUGCAGAGACACUUUAACCCCAGGUCUUCCCCUGCUACCAGAAGAGGAUGUGAUCAGUUCCGUCAUUGGUAGGCAGAGCAUCAGAUAAUCUGUCUGUGGAAAGACAGACAGACAGAGCAAGCACCAGAAGCCCAUCACCAUGUCCAGCUUCACCCUCCCAUUUGGCUUUACUCUGCUUUAUUUGCUGCUGACUAGGCUCCUAGUCAUCUCUGGCUCUAGCUCAAGCUAACUCCUGAAUUAGGCUCGUCCCUGCAAUAAUUGGAGUGAGGACUCCUGGAAUAAAAAGAAUUUGAAAUUGAGAAGACCUGAUCCGUUUCUCCUACCUGCUUUAAUUCCUUCAUUUGGCAGCAAAUGGCUCUCCAAAUGCGGGAAAGUGAAAAUGUGGUUCCUAAUAAAGUCACAAGAAUGCUGGAAGUCGUGAAAGUUAAACAGUGAAUGUUGAGGAGUGACUGUAAUAAAUAUUUGUUGAAAUGAA